rnacentral:misc_RNA from 1 species
UUAACCUAGCGUAACUGUAAUUUGUUUGAACGCGUAUCUGUCAAUACUUGUUCGAACGAAGAUCGCGACUCGUAGCGAUCAUAUGUCAAUUGUGAUACGCAAAGGAUCGCGCGAGAAGCAAUUCUUUCGCCAUCUUAAUUGCAUUCCUUUCUCAUUUGUAGAUCGCGGCAAGCCUGAUGUGGAUCGGGCAAAUAUCGCGCCAUAUCUAUCGGUAAAUCAAAUCUGCAUUGUAACUUGGGCUAAGUUCCCUGUCUUAACAUUGCGCUCACGCAUUUUUCAUAUAUCGGACAACAUGCGUUAAUACUCGCAAUAUCAGAAAAAGAUAGUCGUCGCAUUAUCGAUUAUUCAUAUGGGCAAUCGUCAUGUAAGGACACGUAUCCAGUGAUGCCAGUGUCAAAUCAUUUUGCAUCAUCGUGCUGCACGGAGAGGAUGAUCUGGCAGCUUUUUGCAGGAUGCUGCAAAAAGAUUCGGCGUACCGGCCGCGCGGCGCGGCGCGACGCUACUUUUGGCGCGUGAAGUUAACCGCGCGACGCGGCGUCACUUUUGACGCGUGAAGUUGACCGUGCGAGAGUGACGAAGCCGUUUCACUCCAUCCUUUUGCGUAUCACUGUUAGAACGUUAGACGCAAGAUGGACCGGCUCCGGAAUAAGUGGCAUCGCGAAUCUCUUAAUUGAUCGCGGCAAGUCUGACAUGACCCCGGUGUCGGGGCAAAUGUCGCAUCACAUCUACUUGACCGUGACAAUCCUGACAUGGAUCGGUUCCAGGGCGGAUGACAUUGCGAUAUUUAUUUGAACGCGGCUAACACGAAAGAGAGUUGCGCCAAAUGACAUAGCAAAUUAUUUUUUAAUAACUUGUGAGGAAGAGGAAGAAGAGGAAAUUUGACAAUAUCAAAAUAGGAAGAGGCUUAGGAGGAUAUCAGGCGUCGGUGGAGCAACUUUGCGAAUCAUCGUAGUUACAUUGCUGAUAACUUCACUGUUGCGCAUUGCAAACUUAUUUUCAUCAUGUAAAAAGUUAACAACCACGCAUACUCGAUGUAGUCGCGUCGCCGAUUUAAAUGAGAUUAAACGAACCGCAUGCAGGCGGUUCGUCGCGUCGCGUGUUUGUUCGGGAGUGCCGUUUAAGUUAUAGGACUAAAAGGACUUUUCUCAUAACUCCCAUUCGAUUGAAUUCUUAGUUCGAGACCGGGAGUCGCACUUUCGACGUUUUGACAGUAUGGGACGCUCGUUGAGGCUUGAGAUGGCUACAAUCAUUUUUGCGACGUUCUCAUGCCAAGUGCUUUGCGCACGAGGUGAUACCGAUGGCGCACCGUCGCUCGGUUAAUACCGUUCUAACAGUAGGCUUGAGGCGAAAAAUUCAGAUUUUGCUACCAUGUUAUACAUGUAUAACAUGACAGCAAAAUCUGAAUUUUUCGUCUUAGGCCUCUGUUAGAACGAGUAGCACAGGCUGUGUCCGCACAUACUCGUCGACUCAAGGUGCUGAUUCCACGGGACUCUCUCUGAACUGGAAAUCAUCAUAUCGUGGGUUUUAUAAACGUGGGGUGGCGCAUUGGGAUGUCGCGCGAAAGACAUUGAACAGAUAAUUAGUCCUCGCGCGAUUUUAACAUAUGUAAUCGCGAAUAUUUUUCGCGAGUGUUUUGUGACGACGGAAGAAAGACAUGAGAGCCUAUUCUGAGAGGAGGAGGAGGUCUAGGAAGGGCAUCUGGCAUCAGCGAAGCAACCUCGGGUAUCAUCGCAGCUUCGUGGCUGAAUAACUUCGCUUGUUGCGCAUCGGAUCGAUAUAUUUAACGCUAUCAGCUCUAAUUACUUGUCACGUAAGUGCAAAUUUUCAAUUCGAGAGUUUGAAAAGUUUGAGCUCAAAGGACACUUUGCGACCUUGGAAUAAGCAGUAUGAAGUUUAUGAGAGUGC